rfam:Eutrema salsugineum unplaced genomic scaffold scaffold_5, whole genome shotgun sequence.
GAGCUGUGAAGAAACUGGCUUUAGCGAUGGUUGGGUCCAUCGCACUCAUCUGAUUCCCAGAUGAUAUUGCCUCCUGUCUGAGCUC